UACAGAGGUCCCAAGGCGUUGUUCGGAUUCACUGGCGUAAGGGUGCGUAGGCGGUCGGGUAAGUCUGAUGUGAAAUCUCACAGCUUAACUGUGUAAACUGCAUUGGAUACUAAUCCGGCUCGAGGAAUGGAGGGGAGACUGGAAUACUUGGUGUAGCAGUGAAAUGCGUAGAUAUCAAGUGGAACACCAGUGGCGAAGGCGAGUCUCGUGGACAUUUCCUGACGCUGAGGCACGAAAGCCAGGGGAGCAAACGGG
rnacentral:rRNA from 1 species